rnacentral:lncRNA from 10 species
GAUCCGAUUCACUACUAAAGUCUUCCGUGUUUAAAUUUUCAAAGUCAGAUUCUCCUACAGCAAUUGGCCCAGUUCCCCUUCCUAGAGGCAACUACUACUACUUAUCUCCCAUAUAUAUUUCCAGGAGUGAUGGUGAGGAGGAAUUGUGCCAGCUUGCUUCUUCACUGCCAUUUUGGAACCAGAACUCAGAACCUGAGAAAGAUGAAUGAAAUUUAGUGUUUCCCAUCCCCGAGAGACACCCAGCAUCCACAACUUCACACUCUGAUGCCAUUGUGUAUUUAUGCAAGAAAUACCAUAACUAAGAUGAGGUCUCGCUAUGUUGCCUAGGCUAGUCUUGAACUCCUGGCCUCAAGUGAUCCUUCUGCCUCAGCAUCGGGAGUCACUGGGAUUAAAGGCAUGAGCCACCAUGCUCAGAAUACAAACAAAGACCCAUUUUCUAGAAGAAGUAACAGGGAAGAGAGAGUAAGAAAGAGAUAAUGAUGAACAUUGUCUAAUGUUACAGCAUAAUCUAGUAAGGAACUUGACAUCAUCAGACAGUAAAUCAAGAGGUACUGACAACUGAGACUGAGUGAUGGUCCCUGCCUAGGAUUUGGAAUCUUUGCAU